GAGAAAGGGAAGCAAGACCAAGCAAAGGGUUGCCAAGGUCUGUUUAAUGGAGACUGGGAGCCUGAUUAUAAGCACACAAUGAGAAAAAAUAGGGAGGGGUUGAGGGGGUAUAAUAAAAUACAGAGAAAGGGAUGGACAUCUGGGGCAGAUGCUGAUUGCAGGCUUCAAACAUCUUACAGCUUAUCUUGGAAUGUCGUCCCUAAAACAGUCCCAGGCAGCCUUCAAACAUCCUGCAGUUUAUCUUGGAGUUUCAGCCCUAACUAGACAGUCCCAGGCACCAAAUGGAGACAUGAAGGAUGAGGUGAAGCUGGCUUUAUUUAAGCAGUCCCAGGUGCCAAGUGGAGACAUGAAGGAGGGGGUGAAGCUGGCAGUCCCAGACACCAAAUGGAGACAUGAAGCAUGAGGUGAAGCUGGCUUUAUUUAAG
rnacentral:lncRNA from 1 species